UACGGGGGGGGCAAGCGUUGUUCGGAAUUACUGGGCGUAAAGGGCUCGUAGGCGGCCAACUAAGUCGGACGUGAAAUCCCCAGGCUCAACCUGGGAACUGCGUCCGAUACUGGAUGGCUUGAAUUCGGGAGAGGGAUGCAGAAUUCCAGGUGUAGCGGUGAAAUGCGUAGAUAUCUGGAGGAAUACCGGUGCCGAAGGCGGCAUCCUGGACCGAUAUUGACGCUGAGGAGCGAAAGCUAGGGGAGCAAACGGG
rnacentral:rRNA from 1 species